UGAGGUAACCCGAACAAUAACACUUAUACAAACUCAUAACUUAGGUUCGAAAUUGAUAAAAUCGUUAGCGUAUAUUUUUAUUUUUUUUUGACUUGACAUUAAAAUACAAAAUCUAGCGCAUUGGAAAUGUAUGCCACGCUACAAUACAAUACGCCUUCUAGAGACUUCAUAUGAACUAGUGGGGUCCAAUAUUCUUUGAACUAGAUUA